rnacentral:rRNA from 1 species
CAGCAGCCGCGGUAAUACGGAGGGUGCAAGCGUUAAUCGGAAUUACUUGGCGUAAAGCGCACGCAGGCGGUCUGUCAAGUCAGAUGUGAAAUCCCCGGGCUUAACCUGGGAACUGCAUUUGAAACUGGCAGGCUGGAGUCUUGUAGAGGGGGGUAGAAUUCCAGGUGUAGCGGUGAAAUGCGUAGAGAUCUGGAGGAAUACCGGUGGCGAAGGCGGCCCCCUGGACAAAGACUGACGCUCAGGUGCGAAAGCGUGGGGAGCAAACAGGAUUAGAUACCCGAGUAGUCCCUGUCUCUUAUAC